AUUUUAUAAAUUAAAUAAACCAAAACAUGAUUUGAUUAAAAAGUGUAGUUUAACUGAGGGCACAGUUCAUGAAAAAACUAGAAGUUAUGAUACCAAUAUAUAUAAUAAAGAAGAUUAUAAACAAGUAAUAAAAAAUGUCAUUGGUAGAACGAGACACUAUGUUAAUGAUAAUAAAACAAAGAUGAAACAUCCGGUUGUAAAUGCAAAGGAAAGUGAGGUACAUAGGGAAUGGAGCAAACCUGGUAGGACAAAACAGAUGAAAAUGGAAGUUAAUCGGGAAAAAGAUAAUGUACAAAACGGUGAAGUAAAACAAGAAAUAAAAACAGAAAAAAAAAAACAGAAAGCAAAAAAUUCCCAUUUUAAUGAAACAAAAGAAGAAAAAAAUAUAAAAUUUGAAGAAAUAGAAGAAAAAAAAAGAGAACUAGGAAAAAAAAAAAAUAGGGAUAAAAUGAAUGCGAACAAACGCGAUAAAAUAACUAAAAAUGUAAAUGAGUAUAAAAAAGCUGUUACAAUCAAAAAUAAAGAACAAAUAUAUAAUAGACAUAUGAAAAAUUUGGAUAAAACAAAUAAAAUAUAUCAUAAAAAAUCAAACAGUGAUAGCAAUUUUUAUAUGUUUUCAGAUAAUUUUAAUACAUAUAAAAUUGUUUCUCCUAUCAGACAUAAUUCUUCAUUAGAAAUAUUAAAAAAAGAUAUAAAAAAAUUUAUUAAUAAUGAUACAGACGAAAAUGAAAAUAACAAUAUGCAAAAUAAAGAAAGUGAUAUAUCAAAUAUACACAAUGAGAAUUUCAAAAAUAUUAUUGAUAUAAAUGUAAAUAGUAACACCAUCAAUUUUUUAAAAAAUAAGGAAAAUUCAUCAUAUUCAAUAGGAAAAAAUAUAGCUGAUAGUGAAAUAAAUUAUGUCCCAUCAAAUAUAUCAGUAAACAUAAAAGAAAAAAAAAAAAUUAAAAAAGAUCAAAAUAAUAAUCUUCAAAUUGGCACACGUACAAUUAAAAUAGAUGAUGAUAUAAAAAAUGAUAAAACGGGUAGUAAAAGUAUUAAAAGCAAUUUUUAUCUUAAUAAAUCAAUAAGUGAUAGUUAUAAUGAGUAUGAUUUAUCGAAUACUCUAAACAGUGGAAAAAAGCAAAUUAUUACCACAACUACAAGUGGAAAAAAUGAGAGUAGUUUUUAUGUAUCAGACAUGGAAAAUUUUACAACGAAGGAAGUAGAAGAAGAAAAA
rnacentral:lncRNA from 1 species